rnacentral:lncRNA from 1 species
CUGGGGAGAUGGUUCUGUGAGUCUCUUUUGGAGUGGCUUGGGACAUUGGCUGCCGGCUGAGCUGCACAGGAGAGGGCGCACUUGGGAAUGUAGUGUCUCAUGGCCCACUCGAGAGUCUAGAGCUGUCACACCAGGGCUUCCAGGCACCCCAGGAAUCGGCAAGAGGCACAUUCAGCAUUCCCCACCUGGUUUCGUUGCUCAUCUCUUCAGUUACUGAUGAGAUUUAAAGGACACCUGGGUGGUUUUUGCAUGCUUCAGCCAUCCUCGCAGUUGAAUCCAGAGAUAUGACUUCAAGGUGGCCAGCUGGUGAGAAAGCUGUUCCUUCCACCUUCUU